AACUAUGGUGCCCAAAAGUAGCAUUUGGGUACCAUACAUGAAAAUGAUUUUCAACCUUUAGAUCAAAAUCUUAAAUCUUGACCAUCCAAAAUCACAUAGAUCCAACCGGUCGCAACCGGUCACAGGCCUAAAUCAAAGCACUGAAACAGGAGAGAGAGAGAGAGAGAGAGAGAGAGGACGAAGUGAACAGAGAGAAGACCGCAAAAGCACCGAACCAAGAGACAGAGAGCACCUCGUCGGACGGGAGUUCUCCACCGCACUCGGCGAGAGAGAAAACGAACGACGAAGAGAAGCGAUUCAGGCCUUAUUUCAGGUAAAUCUAAAGUUUCCGGAAAGGAUUUUCCAAAUUAGUGUCGCCGGCAGCAAAAGAUUUGCCUUCAUUCAUCAUUGUAGUUCUGACUUUGUUUCUCACUUGUAAUUUAAUUUUUUAUUUUCUUAAUUUGGUUGAUGAUGAAUAUAGGAGAAAAGGAAUGAAGAAAUCACCAUGUUAUAUUUUUUUUUCUUUAUUUUAUCUCUUUUAGUUGAUUGUCAUUGUAAUUUCUGGCUUUGUUUUCACCUGAAUUUGUUUCGUCUUUUCCUGUUGUAGUUGUUUUUGUUUAGAUUUUUGAAAAAAAGAAAAGAAAAAGAAAGAGUUAAAUCUCUUUUUUCCAA